UAAACGACUCUCGGCAAYGGAUAUCUCGGCUCUCGCAUCGAUGAAGAAYGUAGCGAWWUGCGAUACUUGGUGUGAAUUGCAGAAUCCCGUGAACCAUCGAGUCUUUGAACGCAAGUUGCGCCCGAAGCCUUCUGGCUGAGGGCACGCCUGCCUGGGCGUCACGCA
rnacentral:rRNA from 1 species